CCAUGGUACUCCCGUGGCCCACUAAAUCGGAGUACCCCAAAAGCUUACUCACCUGUUCAUUACUCCAUUCCUUCCCCUUUCUUUAGUCUCCUAUUCCUUCAUGGGAAAGAAAAAAAACCAAAAAUAUUUCAUUCUAUAUUCGUACAAAAUUCCGCACUGCUUUAUUUGGAGGCCACAACCUCCCUGAUACUCUCAAUUUUGACAUUCAUAACAAAGCUUGUAAUAACCAAAAAAGGUAGUAAAGAAAUUAAAAUGCAAGUUAUCAAAACUAAUAAAUUCUUCGUGAAAUAUUUACUUUAAGCAAAAUCAGAAAUUUGGAUCAAAAUUAGCAAAAUAAUUUUCAAACAAAAUUUAAGGCUUUCAAAUUUAAUUUCUCUAUCUUGUGUUUUUCAGGUUUCUGGUUCUAAUGGCGACUGUUCCGGAUAACUGCAAAUGGAGUCCCCGGGUAUUGUGGUCCUGGUGGCAGCCUCUGCGGCCAAAAGGGUCCCUUUUAGGUUCUCGUUUUCCGUCCGUCCGUCUAAUCUUUUUUUUCUUUUAUUAUUUUCUAGGGGUUUUCUGAUGUGCUGCUUUCUCAGCACCGUAAGGUCAACAUUGGCUGAUGGGCAAGGAAAUAUCCUCUACUAUCCACUACCUAACCUAACUAUGAGCUCAUGCUUAGGUUACGGCAUAGAACCCAACCAAAGGAAAAAACUUUUUAACAAAAUAAAUCUGUCGAGAGUCAAUCGUCUGUAUGCCUGUCGGUUUAUGGUCGGAGAAACUUUUUGGACUACCUUAUGGACACUGGGGUAUGCGACAGCGUCUAGGUCCCUCGGUGGAGUAGCGAUAGGUGUUGUGGAUAUCCCAAUUGCAGCAGCUGAAGUCUUUUAUAUGUGUGGCAGUGGAGGUGGAGGAGUCUUGGCUUUCGCUUUUAUUUUUAGACUUAAGUUUUUAGCUUUAAAUUUUACAUUAUAUGAUUUGAUUUUUUUUUAUUUCUUUUCAGUGUUUUUCUUCUUUAAUAAAUGUUUCUUUUUCUUUUAGGUUUUAA
rnacentral:sRNA from 1 species